UGGGGCCAAAGAGUUGUCUCAGUAAUUAAAAAGUACUUACUGCUAUUGCAGAGGACCUGGGUUCAGUUCCCAGCACUCACAUCAGGCAGCUCACAACCGUCUGCAACUCCAAUUCCAGGAGAUCCAGCAUCCUCUUCUGGCCUACUCAGACACCUAUACACAUAUGAUGCACAUAAACUCCUGCAGCCUCACACACAUACACAAAGAAAUGGACCGAGUGAAGAAGAGAGGAUAGACACAGAUUGCUGUGGGCUGUUGUGCAUGGUAAACUCCAGGAAACACAGCAACCUGGGAGCAAUUAAAGAGAUGCCUUCGGUGGCCACUGCUGAGAGGAGCAUGCGACAGAUCUUAGGACAGCCACUGGAGGGACAUAAAGUUGGAGAAACUGGGCUUCUGAGUCAUGGUUUACACCCUGCUGAGGCAUCUCCCCUGUGGAUCCAUCUUCAUUUUCACCUACUUGUGACUGAGAACUAGAAACUCCAGAUGCUAAAAGAUGGUAGCCUGAGGUACUAAGGACUCGGCACCUCAGUCACGCAUCAGUCACAAGCCCUGUGCGUGGCAUUUGGAGCAAGGGGAAUGAUAAUCAAUUAUCUUGCACCUUUGGAAAACCAUGCCUGUACAGAGAGCAAUGAUUAAUUAGCACCUCGGAGGCAUCUUUGACUGACAAGGCCUGGCUAGGUGCAAACCUUCAAAGACAGAAUGGCACAUCAGGGGGUUUAUUCAGCAGAGAGCUUGCAGCAGCGUGCGCUCUAACACGGAACCUCAUGAAGCCUGCGGCCAGGAAUAAAAGAAAGAUAUCAACUUUGAAAAUCAAUCUCACGAUUCCGUGAUGCAUGAACUGCCAUCACUUAAAACGGUGACAACAAAAGAAUCUUUUUACAGUUUUCUCCCACCCCCUCCUCCUUCAAGACUGACAGCCAGGAACCAGGGAGGUGGCUUAGCAGUUAAAGGUGCCGGCUGCCAAGUUUGAUGGCCAACAUUUGAUACCUAAGACCCACGUGGUAGAUGAGGAGAAGCGACUCCAACAAGUUGUCCUCUGAUUUCAGCAUGUG